UCCGCUAUUGCUUGUGUGCUUUCUAGAUGAAAGCCCUGGUAGGGCAGGGAUCGUACCAUACUGAGAGCAAAUAAAAUAAAUGAAUGUCUCCUCUCCCGCCUCUGGAUAUUACAGCAAACACAGAGCACAUUGCUGUGGCCUCCAGCCAACCCCUGCAAUUCCCCGACACAAUAGAUCGGUUGUGGACAGCGGCAGCUAGUGAGGCACAGCGUGGAAGCUUUUAAUUCCUGCUUUUUAUCAUUUUAUCUCAUCACCUUGGCAUCAUCAAGGUAGCAUUUUGGUGACCCUGAGAGGGGAAAAAACUGCUGAGACAAUCACUCUGCUUCAGAAGACUUCAGAGACAGUUGUGGCCACUGGUCUCAUUGUGUCUGAGAACCUGAUGUGAUGUGACAUUGCAGAACGGAGCUGAUGAUCAAUCUCUCUGAUGACAACAAGGAAUCCUCUCAGGUUCAAGCUCUAAUCAGGGACUACAGAGGGCAGCAGCACCGCCAAGCACUUGGGCAGCUGCUCCCUGCCACUGGACCAGGAGGCUGAUUUUCACCAGAAACACAGAUGGAAGAGACAAGAAACUCCUGAGCCCUCAUUGUCAUCUUGGGCAAAUAGGGUGAAUGACAAGUGGGUUUUUUUUUGGAUGUGAUCAUACUUUUCUUUGCUAACAGCACUGCGGGUGGUUUCCUGGUUAGGGAAGGAGGGCUGGAUGGUGACACCCUUACAGGAACCACACAGACACUUGUCCUGUUGUGCAGCAGCCGGAGUUACCCCACUGGGUAAUACAAGUCAGACUCCAUAGAAGCAGAUCCGUGCCCAUCCUGUUGCUGUGAAUAGUUUCCAAGCAACACCUUUACAACAUGCCUAUAUUCAUAUAUAUGUACAGACGUAAAUGUAUCCCUCCAGCUCAGGAUAAACUAUGCUAGAGUCACACGUAGGUGGCUGUUAGCUCAAGCACUUUGGCACAGUCGGAAAAAGGAUGUGACAAGACAUGCUGGGGACUCCACUCCUUUUGUUUGGGCUUAUAAGAAGGGAAUUACCAGUGCUGCUUGUGACAACAAAACUGCCCAUUAGAAGCUUGAUGCUGUUGUUAGUGGAUAAAAGCAACAUUUCUAAUCCACUGAUGUCACACAAAGCAACAUGGGUUAGCUGGUGUAGCGGAGGGGGUCAUCCUUUUAAUAUGAUGAUGUUCUGUGCUCACCAGAUAAAUUCAGCUGAUGAAUUCUCUAAGAAACACUGUACAGAAUGAAAUAUAUAUUCCUGCUCUGAACAUUUUUGUUGCUUGGAUAGUACUGAACAGGAAAAUUAUUUAGACUUUGUAAAGAGGCCAUUAUGAAGACCAUCAGAGAACUUGCUGCUGCUCGGAUAGAUUUUCCUGUGGCUCCCACAGGCUCCUGAAAUCCACAGUAAAUAAUAAUAUUUAUUAAUGAAAUUUAAUUUUUACCAGAUGGUAAGUAAUAGCAGUGUGUUAGGCGUGCUGUUCAAUAAUGUUCUGCUGCUGCUUUGAAUUCUCAUUACAUAGCAUGCUCCUAGAGUUGAGAAGUAACCUCACUGUAAAGGCCUGCCUGCCCUUGCCCUGCUGUGGAUAGGGGAUUUGCUGUGCAAGCCUUAUCCAAAGCCGGCAGAUGCCAAUGGAAACAGCCCUGCAUGCUGACAGAUGAACUUUGGAGCUGCCAAAGUAGCUGAAAUAGGUACCUUUCAUCAGAGAAAAAAAGUUGUUCUGCCCCAGCAGUGCAUACCGGCCGGCAUCAGUCAUUUAAUUUGACUUCUGGUCUCCAUAUUCUUGAUGCAAGAAUAAAAAUUCAAUUAAAUAUCAAACGACCGAAAAAUGAUUUGUAAAUACUGUGCACAGCGGAGAGUUUUCUGCUUAUUUCUUGCACUAAACUGCUUACUUAUUUCCUACAAAACCUUUCGACUGGAAAUCCAGACAUUUAAAUUGAACGUAGUUCUUCCAACACAGCAGGACAGCCGCCAUAUUCCACACAAAGCCAUCUGUAGCAAGAAAAAACACAACAUAAAACCCAGAUUCUGUAUCAGAAAUGUCCUCUUCAUCUUCCAUACCCUUUUCUUUGCCAUGGUGAUUCUCUUCACUUUGCUCUUUCUUACUGGUGCUGCGAAUCCAGAUGGACCGGGCACCCUGGUUUAAUUUGCUUCCUAGCAUACGUUAAUAUGUCACUACAGGAGAUACCUCAUUACCCACCUGUCAAAGUACUUGUCCAUGGUAUGGUGGCUGCUGCUUUGAUCUGUCAAUCUGCGUUUUUAGCCUUUCUCAUUACGGACUGGGCACCCGAGGGUGGGGAUUCUUCUAGGGUGCUACAACCCAACAGCUUUCAAGGAUACUUGGUUUUGAACAUUAUAUUUUUGCUGUCUCAGUUCUCAGAGGCCACAGGGCCUUGUGAGAAGCCAGGCAUGACUCUCGUCCCCACUGGGGACUGCCGAACAGCCGAAUCUCCCAUCAGAAAGAGGCCUGGAGCCUGAGGCUCCUCCUCAGGCCUUGAGCCCAGCUGAGACAGCCUCACUGCACAGGCUUGAAGCUUCACUAUGUACUGAUGGGAAGUGAAUCUUCUGGGAACAAAAGCCUUGGGUUUGAGUCCAGAAACAUACUCAGAGUCCAGCUCUUUAUGCUGGUAGGCAUUUUUACCUUGCACUUCAGCAUAGAUUUGUCUUGAUGUUGUCUGGGUCAUUUCCUUGGCAAUACCUGCUGGCGGCAGGACUGAGGAUAGAGGCAAACUGAUUCCUUGAUGUCCUCACAAAUGAAUAAAAAGGUCAUUUCAAACACAGCUGAGAAAGGUUUUUCAGGCUCCUGUGAACAGCCACCAUUUAAUGCUAGGUGAUCCUGGCUCCAGAUAUUUUUCCUGAAAAUAUCCCCAAAAUAAACACGUAGAAUCCCGUAAAAUCAGUUAACUUGGGUAAGAGCAAAUCCGAUUUUCUGCUCAUAGUAAAUAAUCUACUGAAUAAUGAACUCUUUAACUAGCUCUUGUCUUAUUUCUGAAAUAAGAGUUAACCCAAAGAAAAGAAUGGGAUGGCUUUUCCAACACACAAAGCACAGAAAUGAGUUUCUCCCUCCUUCAUAUACACAUGGAGCUCCCCCAGGAGAGUGCAAUAUCAGGAGGAGGAGGACCUCUCAUGGAUUUGAGUGCAAUCCAAUCUGGGACCGUUGCAGCCAGUCACAACAUUGCCAUUCACUUCAGCAUAUGUGGGCGCUGACUUUUAGAUGUGCAUUCUCCUUUAAAGUCCUCGCACACCAGUUAAUUGUUUGUGUGUGUAUGUUAUGUGCAUGUGGACCAGAUGCACAGAGUUGUGGACCCCAGAGAAUUUCACUGCUUUCAAAGGAUGUGAUGUAAAAUUCUGUACACUAAAUUUAUUUCUUCCCAUGCAACUGUGUACAAUCAGCUCUAAUAGGAACUUGACACUUCCUGCACGUCUGUUUUUUAAUGGAAUCUGCUAAGUUUUAUAAGGGCCAUAUUUAGCUGUACAUCCUCUCCACUGUUAACUGUAUUAUCCUUCUAAGGAAGCCAUUAACUCUUCACUAAAUGCUCUUCCUAUAGCGGUUUUACAAUGCAUGCAUGGUGAAACGUGGAUCUCUGUGGGCUAAGCAGCUCUUCCAACUGAAAGAAUCAGUGAGCGCGUAUGUAAUGGGGAUAAAUGAGGAGAACCUCUAAAAAUGCAUGACAUGAUCAGCAAGUAAUUUCUGCUCGUCUGCCUUCCAACAGCUCCUAAUGCAAACUUUGUAUAUUUAAACAACUUCCCUUUUUACAGCAGGUCCUGAGACUAUUGCUCAUGCCUCUCAGAAAUGAUAUUUUCAGUUCCAUUUUCAUUCCAGCUUGAAGGAGAGAGGUGGUUUGCAUGUCUUGGCUACUUCCAAAUUUGCAGCUGAAGACGCGUUCUUCAUUGCAUCAUUCUGGACCAGCUCCCACAUUUCAUCUCACGCUGUUCUGCUCUGCUUUCCCUGUACAAAGUGGAACCAUCAGCUUUCAGCUGAAACAGUCUAUUUUAAGAUAAAGGAGAAAUAAAAUGAGGAAGAUUGUAAGUGAAAACUCCAUGGAGAAGUUUACAGUGCUUCCUUUUUAUGAAAACAAACUAGAGGCUGCUUCUGGCAAAUAUGAAGGUUUUAUUAAUGGAAAUGUGUGGUAAAGAUCUUAAUCCUUGAACCUGGCACUGCUCUGUUCUGUAAAGUCUGUAUAGAGUUUACACGGGAGUUAUAAAUCAGAGAGAGGUAGCCCUGAAAUAAACAGUCUGUACUUCCUAAUGGAUAACAGUGUUAAACUGCACAGCAAAUUUUUUCCUUGCCUCUUCUGCACUUGAAUAACCAAACGUAAACAAAUUAGAAACUGCAUUUCAGCCUGUGCUCACCUGCAUCCACUUCCUUUGCAAAAGCCAAAAAAUGGACAAAUAUUGCUAUCCAGUGUGUGUUUUCUUCCUGUGGUUUGUGGGUCUAUCUUCCUCUAACUGAGGCUUGUGGAAGUAGGCAGUAAGCGAGCAGGUGCCCAGAUGUCUUCAGGGUAUCAAUGCCAGAAAGACUUCCUGCUCUGACCCUGCAGGACCCCAUAGCCACUGGAGGUGGAUCCAUGUCACAACUGUUGUUGUGUUUGCACAGUCUAAGGCCUCACUCUCUUAUACCAUCCGCACCCAUGGGCUUCUUCUCCCACGAUGGCAAUAGACUGGUGUCAAAAAUAAAUGGCAGACAUGACAAAUCUUACAAGGAAAAUAAAUAUUCUGCCUAGUUUUCUUGGGAAUUUUGAUGUUGAUUCUCUUUUCUCCUUUCUGGUUCCGUCCUGAGGAAGGAGAGAAUGAAUGGAUACAGUCAGACCCGCGUUUUGUGUGGAAGCAAAGAAGCACGAGGAAACUGUCUCAAGUUGUACUACGGAAGAUUUACAUUGGACAUUAGGAAGAAUUUCUUCAUAGUGGUCAAACAAUGGAAUGGGCUGUCCAAGGAAAUGAUGGGGUCCCCCUCCCCAGAGUUGUUUAUGAGAAAUGUGGAUGUGGCACGAAGGGACGUUGUUUAGUAAAAGGUCUCAGUAUAUCAGGUUGAUAGUUGGAUUUGGUGACCUUGAAGUUGUUUUCCAACCUAGAUGAUUCCCUGAUUCUGUGAUUCUGUUUAAAUGCUGAGGUUACACAUAAACAAGGCCCGGUGUCCCAGCUGGCUGGCAGCCUCUAUUUCAGGGGGAAGAGGCAAUGGGAUGGCUGGGGAAGGUGAAAUGUUGAAAAUGUGUGUUCUGAAAGCAGACUAGUAAUGAUCCUUGAGAAGAUAUUCAUUUGUGUCUAAUGUGGCUAAGGAAAAGAAGGAAGAAGAGAAACCUGAGCAAACAAAUACACUGUGGACAGCCCAGCAGAACUGAGUUUUACAGCCAGCUCUGCUGCCCAGGAGCAUCACUUUCCUCAACUCAUUCCAGGACGCCUGCAGCACUCUGACCGCAGACUGACUUGUGACUGCUCAGCCCACCAGCAAGUCUGGGGGAGUGGAGAGGAGAUGAUGGGUCCUAUCUCCAGUCUGGCCAGAGGACACCUCAAGCAGUCUCAGGCUCUCUGAAGCCACAGGGCCACACCACAUCCUUCUUCCCAAAACUGCAAAUCCCAAGGGGGCUGAUAACUAGGAAAAUCCAGAGUAAAAUAUGUAGAAACUUCUUACAGAGCUUUCCCUUCAUCUGCAUUUGUAGAAGGAGUGACCAAACUCUCAAGGUUUCUAGCCUAAAGUUUGACAUCCAUUAACAAUAUACAUUUGUUUUCAACAUCUACAUAAACAGGAUCCUGUGUACCCCGUCUCCUUUAGAGAGAAAAAUAAAAAUAAACAAAUAUCAUGUGUGUAUCCAGGAACCUCACACAGAAUGCUUGCAAAAUUAUAUGUGCCCUCUGCCUGUAAAACUCUGCUGUGCUCAGGUGUUUGUAGCAUUUGGGCCUUUGUGAGAGAAAACAAGAGAAACUCAUUGACCUCAGUAUGUCUUGGGACAAAGAUUCCUGAAGAAUUAUUGUAUAGACAAGGGAAAGAAAUUCUUUAGGUUAUUAUAGAAAUUACUGGAAAAAACAUCUUUUAAGAAAAAAAAAAUGCUUGAUA
ensembl:lncRNA